GAUGAACGCUGGCGGCGUGCCUAAUACAUGCAAGUCGAGCGAACAGAUGAGGAGCUUGCUCCUCUGACGUUAGCGGCGGACGGGUGAGUAACACGUGGAUAACCUACCUAUAAGACUGGGAUAACUUCGGGAAACCGGAGCUAAUACCGGAUAAUAUAUUGAACCGCAUGGUUCAAUAGUGAAAGACGGUUUUGCUGCCACUUAUAGAUGGAUCCGCGCCGCAUUAGCUAGUUGGUAAGGUAACGGCUUACCAAGGCAACGAUGCGUAGCCGACCUGAGAGGGUGAUCGGCCACACUGGAACUGAGACACGGUCCAGACUCCUACGGGAGGCAGCAGUAGGGAAUCUUCCGCAGUGGGCGAAAGCCUGACGGAGCAACGCCGCGUGAGUGAUGAAGGUCUUCGGAUCGUAAAACUCUGUUAUUAGGGAAGAACAAAUGUGUAAGUAACUAUGCACGUCUUGACGGUACCUAAUCAGAAAGCCACGGCUAACUACGUG
rnacentral:rRNA from 1 species